rnacentral:rRNA from 1 species
GACGAACGCUGGCGGCGUGCUUAACACAUGCAAGUCGAACGGAAAGGCCCUGCUUUUGUGGGGUGCUCGAGUGGCGAACGGGUGAGUAACACGUGAGUAACCUGCCCUUGACUUUGGGAUAACUUCAGGAAACUGGGGCUAAUACCGGAUAGGAGCUCCUGCUGCAUGGUGGGGGUUGGAAAGUUUCGGCGGUUGGGGAUGGACUCGCGGCUUAUCAGCUUGUUGGUGGGGUAGUGGCUUACCAAGGCUUUGACGGGUAGCCGGCCUGAGAGGGUGACCGGCCACAUGGGGACGGGGAUAGGGCCCAGCCCCCUACGGGGGGCAGGAGGGGGGAAUAUUGCACAAGGGGGGGAGGCCUGAUGCAGCAACGCCGCGGGGGGGAGGACGGCCUUGGGGUUGUAAACCGCUUUCGCCUGUGAAGAAGCGGGGGGGACGGUAAUGGGUAAAGAAGCACCGGCUAACUACGG